rnacentral:sRNA from 1 species
AUGGUCGGAAAUGCGGUAGCGAAAAUUCAAUCUUUAUACAAAAUACCAGUUCAUUUGGUAAAUAGUACCAACAAAACUUUUAAAUUUAAACGAGGAACAGCAAUUGCUAGGAUAGGUUCAAUUCUUGAAGAAAAUUUAGUCAGUUUUGAAAAAGAGAUUAAAAAUGCUAAUCUAGAAAAGGAAGUGGAAACAGAAGUAAAUGUGCCCCCUGAACACAAGGAAAUAAUAGACACAUUGUUAAGUAAAAAUAGGGAUGUCUUUGCUUUGAAAGACUCUGAAUUGGGGCAUACUGAAACAGUUAAAAUGGAAAUAGAAACAGGAAACCAUGAGCCAAUUAAAUUAAAACCUUAUCGUACACCGUUGCAUAAAAGGUCCAUUGUUAAUAAGGCAAUUGAUGAAAUGUUGGAAGCCGGUAUAAUUAGAAGGUCAAAAAGUAGUUGGUGCUCACCGAUAGUCAUAGUAAAAAAGAAAGAUAACUCUAAUCGCUUUUGCACAGACUUUAGAAAAUUGAACAAUAUUACAAAAAGUAUGAGCUAUCCUCUACCAGUAAUCGAUGACAUUCUUGCUUUAUUAGAUAAAGCCAAAUACAUGACAUCGCUCGAUAUGAAAUCAGGAUUUUGGCAGGUGUUGAUGUCCGAUAAGGACCGUGAGAAAACGGCAUUCGGUUGCUUUAGAGGCCUUUACGAGUAUAAUGUAAUGCCAUUUGGUCUUCAAAAUUCUCCAGCAGUUUUUUCGCGAUUAAUGGAAAUCGUUCUCGAAGGGUUACCUUUCGCGGUAGCGUACAUUGAUGACAUUCUAAUAUAUUCAAGUACUUUAGACGAACACCUUUCCCACAUUCAACAAGUAUUUGAUCGCUUGAGAAAACACGGGCUUAAGUUAAAAUUAAAGAAAUGCCAAUUUUUGAAAAAUGAAACAAAUUAUUUAGGUUUCAAAAUAAUCGGAAAUGGGAUAAAACCGGAUACGGAAAAGGUAGAAACGAUAAGAUCAUUGCCUGCACCUAUUAAUGUCAAAGAGGUCAGAAGUUUUAUCGGUAUGCUUAGUUAUUAUCGUCGAUUCGUCCCAAAUUUCUCGAAAAUAUCGAUCCCUUUGGUUGAACUGACGAAAAAAUAUGCAAAGUUUAACUGGACAGACGAAUGUCAAAGAGCUUUUGAAUAUCUUAAAGAUAGUUUGACAGUUAUUCCAUUAUUAGCAUACCCAGAUUUGACAAAGCGGUACACGCUUUACACGGACGCCUCAGACGACACAAUCGGUGCUUGUUUGACUCAGCCGUGUAAUGAUACUGAGGAAGUUUUGUAUGGGGUUAAAAAUGAAAAACCAAUCUAUUUCUUGUCACACAAAUUAAGUGACACACAGACGCGUUGGUCAACUAUUGAAAAAGAAGCAUUUAGCAUUCAUUAUGCACUUCAAAAAUUAGACCAUUAUCUGCAUAACGCAGAAUUUACGAUUAAGACCGAUCACAAACCAUUGAAGUAUAUUUUAGAAUCCCCUAUGCAGAAUAAAAAGAUUCAACUAUGGGCAUUAGGCAUAACAGGGUAUAACUGUAAAAUUGAAUGGUUGGCUGGGACAGAAAACACUAUCGCGGACUAUCUCUCUAGAAGACCUAACCGGGUAGAAGUUAAUAAAUCAGACAAUAAAAAGACAGACGACGAAGACAUUGAAAUAGACAUUAGUGACAAGGCUUACGAAAUUAACACCAUUAAUUCUAACGAAAUUGACCCAAAGAAAUUUGCAAGUUGUAGUUACAAAGAGUCAGAUACUUUGACACUUAAAGAUUUUGUGGUUUCGGGUUACGACAUGAAAUAUGAGCAAUCACUCGACAAAGAAUUAGCUUUGAUAAUUAGCCAAAUGAAAAAUGGCAAAGCCUCGAAAUCAGUUGAAAAUAAGUAUAUACUGAUAGAUGAAAUAAUGUAUUAUAUCUCAAAAGCAGAUACUGAACCUGUGUUAAGGUUGUAUGUCCCUUUACAAUUAAGAGACGAAGUAGUGAAACAAUAUCAUGAUCAAGAUCAUUUGGGUGUUGACAAAACGUAUGACGCUAUUAAGGGUAAAUAUUUUUGGCCAAAAUUAUACAAAGAACUCCAUGAAUAUGUAAACUCUUGUAUAACGUGUCAAAAACGGAGCUCCUAUCAUGCGAAACCAAAACUCCAGGAAACUGAUAGAAUGAAAUUCAAAACAGUGUGGCUGUGGCCAUUGAUUGACACAUUAAAUUCAUCCAUUGACUGGGACAAUUUACGUGAACGUUUGUCUGUAACGACCACUGUUCACGACGUACCUACGAUAGACAUUUAAACUGUGGGGUCACCAAGGUUUCUUAACUGCCUUUUAUUAUAAAAUAAUUCGAAAAAUUAAUCAGAAAUAACCUUUAUGUUUUGAUUUAUAUAAUUGAUAUAAAUCAAAACAUCGUGUUAUUUCUGAUUAAUUUUUUCGAAUUACUUUAUUAAGGUGUUAAGAACCUUUGGUGACCCCAUAGUUUAAGUGUCUUUAAAAAGUACACAGUGAGCAAUGGUUGUUACAUACAAACGUUUCACCUAAAUUGUCCAGUCAAUGAUGAAUUUAAUGUGUCAAUCAAUGGCCACAGCCACACUGUUUUGAAUUUCAUUCUAUACCACCAUUUCCAUUUGCAAAAAUUGCAAUUGACUUGUCCGGUCCAUACCCAAGGUCAUUAUCGGGAAAUAAAUAUAUCAUAAGUUUUAUUGACCUUUAUAGCGGAUACCCAGAAUGUUUUGCUGUUCCUGAUAAGUGCGCUGAAAAUGUAGUUCAUUUAUUAUUAGAAGAAAUCAUUCCAAAACAUAGUUUUCCAUUACAAAUAUUGACAGAUAAUGGGGGUGAAAACACAAGUUAUAUGGUUCGCGAAACUUUACAAGAACUUAAUAUAAGCCAUGUGACUACAUCAUUUUAUUCACCAGGGUCCAAUGGCAAAGUUGAAAGGUUACAUCGAUUUUUGCAUGACAUUCUAGCAAAGAAAAUACAAGACGAUGCCUCAACAUGGGACGUUUAUCUAAAUCAAACGUUAGCCGCAAUUAGAUUUAACAAAAACGAGUCGUCUGACUUCUCUCCUUUCUUUCUUUUAUACAACAGAGAUCCUGUACUUCCCGUUGAUAAUAUUUUGCGUCCGAGACGUAAGUACGCAGGUGACGAUCCCCAUAAAAUUUUAUUAGAGCAGCAACAUAAAUCUUUUGUCAUGGUUCACAAAAAUAUGAAAAAGUCAAAAAGAAAACAAAAGGAACACGCGGAUAAGUCGAGACGCGAUAUUGAAUUUAAAGUAGGGCAAGCUGUAUUUUAUCGAAAUCACCUCCGUAAAAGUAAGUUAGACAGUAAAUGGAAACCAUUUUAUAGGAUAAUUGAACAAAGGUCACCGGUCAGUUUUAUCAUAAAAAAUCAACUAAACGGAACUACCACCAAAGUGCAUGCCCAACAUCUUAAACCUGCACCCGUAAAUGAGUGGACUAUUCCGAAAUUAGGUCAAGCUGACAAAGAUAAACAGUUAAGAAAAACUACUUAUGUUGUACCCCCCGAAUCAUCUGAUAAAGAGUCAGAAAAUGAAACUGAUAGCGAAAAUUCUUCUAUGGAAGGAGUAGAGCAAACUCGUGACAAAUUGAUACGAAGGUAUCAAAACGAACGCGAAUCUUCCUCUGGUGAAGAUGAUAUUCCUUUAAUGGAACUUACGAAAAGGGUAAAAUACCGUAAGAAACGGAUAAAGGCUCAAUAUGAAAAUACGACGGACGAAGAAGACAAUAUUCCUUUACUUGAGCUCCAGAAUAAUUUGAAAUCUCGGGCAAUGACUUCUGAAACGAGAUCUGUCAGUUUAGACGCUAACUCGUCGGAAGACGAGGCAAUGUCAGUAAAUCAUUUUAUUGAAAAACCUGCGAGUAAGCGGGAUGACAUAGCCAAAAAUGACAAAAUUUUGAAUAUAUUUUCUGAUAUGUCAAAGUGUUUAAAAGAUAUUCUUGAACAGUAG